GUCGUGAGAUGUUGGGUUAAGUCCCGCAACGAGCGCAACCCUUGUCAUUAGUUGCUACGAAAGGGCACUCUAAUGAGACUGCCGGUGACAAACCGGAGGAAGGUGGGGAUGACGUCAAGUCCUCAUGGCCCUUAUGGGUAGGGCUUCACACGUCAUACAAUGGUACAUACAGAGGGCCGCCAACCCGCGAGGGGGAGCUAAUCCCAGAAAGUGUAUCGUAGUCCGGAUUGGAGUCUGCAACUCGACUCCAUGAAGUUGGAAUCGCUAGUAAUCGCGGAUCAGCAUGUCGCGGUGAAUACGUUCCCGGGUCUUGUACACACCGCCCGUCACACCAUGGGAGCGGGUUUUACCAGAAGUAGGUAGCCUAACCGUAAGGAGGGCGCUUACCACGGUAGGAUUCGUGACUGGGGUGAAGUCGUAACAAGGUAGCCGUAUCGGAAGGUGCGGCUGGAUCACCUCCUUUCUAGAGUAAGCAUGAAAGUUAAGCGUCCACACUUAUCGGGCUGUUAGUAAAGAAAACGAACAGUAGUAAUGGCAGUAGCAGGACAAUGGUUCACGUGGUUCCAAGCGGGUCUGUAGCUCAGCUGGUUAGAGCACCGUGUUGAUAACGCGGGGGUCGUUGGUUCGAGCCCAACCAGACCCACCAGGUUAUUGCAGUGGGCAGUGGCAGUAAGCCAGUGGCAGUAAGCAUUGGCAGUAAGCAGUGGUGGUACGGAAUACGGGGGUUUAGCUCAGCUGGGAGAGCACCUGCUUUGCAAGCAGGGGGUCGUCGAUUCGAUCCCGUCAACCUCCACCAAGUUUUACGGCAAGAGAAGAGUAAGAGAAGAGUAAGAGAAGCAAGAGAAAAAAAGGCAGUCGCGUUCGCGGCUGUGACGUAAAAGUCCAAACCUAAGACAAGAGGCAGUACCUGGCAGGAAGGGGUAUUGCGCGCAGCGCUUUAGGUUUGGUUUUUUAGAAAGACCAUUGGCUGUUUCGUUCUUUAACAAUUGAGAAGAAGUAAAGAUUUGUCGAUGCACACGACAGUGUGUGUCGAUGGGUGUGAUUGUAUCAAUCAAAAUAGUAUUAAAGAGUUCUCAAAAGGGCGUGUUUCUUCCCGAAGCAUGCCAUGCGAUAACACUUUGGAUACGGCAAACAAAACUCAUAGUAGUACCCCUAUGACCGGUUUUUGGUCCGCGCAUGAACAGCAGGAUAGCGGAUCAGAAGCUAACGUUAUAGGGACAAGUGAAUAAGUGCACAUGGUGGAUGCCUUGGCGAUUACAGGCGAUGAAGGACGUAGUAGCUUGCGAUAAGCUGCGGGGAGCGAGCAAACACGCUUUGAUCCGCAGAUUU
rnacentral:sRNA from 1 species